GUCUUGCUACAUUGUCCAGGCUGGACUUCAACUUCUGGGCUCAAGCAGUUCUCCUGCCUUAGCUUCCUGAGCAGCUAGUACUACAGGCACGAGCAACCAUGCCCAGGUAAGAGAUAGACAGUAGAGCCAUUUAAGUUGCAGAAGACAGAGGAGGUGGAAAAUAAUACAGGUAAGAAAGAACUCAUUUUAUGAGAAAGAUAAUUAUUUUAAUUUGUAAUUAUAUUAAGCUUGAGGCCCCUGUGGAGUGUUUUUGAUGAAGUUGGAUAUGGUCAUGUGACUUUCAAACAGGAAAUAAAGUUUGGGUAUUAUUAACAUUUAGAUGAGAGUUGAGGUCUGGGUAUGGAUGUAGUCACUGAGGUGGGUUCUUUUUUGGUGAGAAGAAAAGAGGGCUAAGGCUAGCACCUUAGCUUAAGAAGUGAGGAAAGCAGAAAAGCCAGUGAGGAAGGCUUACCGAGAACAGGUUCCCUGAUAGGUGGAGAACUGGGAAAGCCUUGUCCAGGGAGACAUCAAAGGAGGAAUGAAUUAUGCCUGCUGGAUGCAUCUGAGGAGUUUAGUGAGGUAAGGGUGGCAGUUUGAGCACUUUUAGUGAGAGCGGAAACCAGGCUGCAGGAGGGUGAGGAAUGUAGUCAUUUAGCCCAGAGAGAAGAGGGAUUAUGGCUGCCUUCAAAUAGUUGAUAACUUCUUAUGGAAACUAGCUCUCAUCUCUUUACCUUUACAGGACAAAACAAUGAGCAAUGCAAGGUCAGUUUGGGUUAUAUUUAAGUAGAUAUGCCUAGCAGUUAAAAUUA
rnacentral:lncRNA from 10 species